rnacentral:lncRNA from 1 species
UGUAUUCAUAGAACAUGUAUCACAUUCAUUUUUGUGGCUAGAACUGAAGUAACGCAUUUAAUAUGAUUUUAUUUUUUUCAAACACACAAAACUAAAGCCACCCAUACAAAAACAAUAUGCCAUUCAUUGUUUUAAAAUGUACGAAUGAUUGUUUUUCAAAAUUAAAGCAAAAUAAAAUGCAUGUCCCCGAAAAAUUUCUCCAGAUGGCUUUUUAAAAAUUUAUCAUAACUUGUUAUGCUUUUAUCGCGCAUGCAACAAAGCCAUCAGUGUCGAUAACAUACAGGUUCAUUUAAGUUUCUUAAAUAACAUUGCCACGCGUUCAGGAAUCUGAUGUGCAGUAGAUGUCGUCUGUUUAUGUGGUUCAUACGUGUUUAUCGUUUUGUAUUUAGCUUAGACCGUUGUUUUUCCCGUUUGAAUGGUUUUACACUAGUAAUUUUUGGGGCCUUUAUAACUUGCUGUUUGGUGUGAGCCUAGGAUCCUUGUUGAAGACAGUACCUUGACCUAUAAUCGUUUACUUUUAUAAAUUGUGACUUAAAUGGAGAGGUGUCUCAUUGGCACUCAUACCACAUCUUCUAACAUCCAUUAAAUAUUGAAACUGUAGUUAAGUUUACUUUCUUGAAUGAUAAAAAAACCAUGAAAAUCACAGCUCAAUGUGAUACUCAUUGUUGUUUUUUUUUGUGAAUAUUUCUACAUUUUCCUGAGGAAGAAACCUUUAGUUAAAGUUUUUCAAAUAUCCAAAAUAAACGAAACCAUCAUCAUGCUCAUAAACGCGACAAAACUUUAAGAAAGCCUUUUUAUGAUUAAGGGAUAAAAUCUAAAGCAAAAUUUCUCAUUUCAAUAAUUUACCAAUAGAUUAUUUUUAUUGUUUUGUAGUUAACAAAUACAUAUAGUUUUGGUUGUUUAUAUAGAC